UACGGAGGAUGCGAGCGUUAUCCGGAUUUAUUGGGUUUAAAGGGUGCGUAGGCGGGCUGUUAAGUCAGCGGUCAAAUGUCGGGGCUCAACCCCGGCCUGCCGUCGGAACUGGCUGUCUUGAGAUGUCGAGAGGUAUGCGGAAUGCGCAGUGUAGCGGUGAAAUGCUUAGAUAUUGCGCAGAACUCCGAUUGCGAAGGCAGCAUACCGGCGCCCGACUGACGCUGAGGCACGAAAGCGUGGGUAUCGAACAGG
rnacentral:rRNA from 1 species